GACGAACCGUGCGAACGUUGUUCGGAUUCACUGGGCUUAAAGGGCGCGUAGGCGGCGAAUCGAGUCCGGGGUGAAAUCUUUCGGCUCAACCGGAAAAGUGCCUUGGAUACUGAUUCGCUCGAGCGAGGUAGGGGCAGAUGGAACUUCCGGUGGAGCGGUGAAAUGCGUAGAGACCGGAAGGAACGCCGGUGGCGAAAGCGAUCUGCUGGACCUCUUCUGACGCUGAGGCGCGAAAGCUAGGGGGA
rnacentral:rRNA from 1 species